rnacentral:rRNA from 1 species
GAUGAACGCUGGCGGUGUGCUUAACACAUGCAAGUCGAACGAACCUUCGGGUUAGUGGCGGACGGGUGAGUAACGCGUGAGAAUCUGCCCUCAGGAGGGGGAUAACGGCUGGAAACGGCCGCUAAUACCCCAUAUGCCGCGAGGUGAAACGAAUUUCGCCUGAGGAUGAGCUCGCGUCUGAUUAGCUAGUUGGUGGGGUAAAGGCCUACCAAGGCAUCGAUCAGUAGCUGGUCUGAGAGGAUGAUCAGCCACACUGGGACUGAGACACGGCCCAGACUCCUACGGGAGGCAGCAGUGGGGAAUUUUCCGCAAUGGGCGCAAGCCUGACGGAGCAACGCCGCGUGAGGGAUGAAGGCCUCUGGGCUGUAAACCUCUUUUAUCAAGGAAGAAGAUCUGACGGUACUUGAUGAAUAAGCCACGGCUAAUUCCGUGCCAGCAGCCGCCGUAA